AGAGUUUGAUCCUGGCUCAGGACGAACGCUGGCGGCGUGCUUAACACAUGCAAGUCGAACGAUGAACCACUUCGGUGGGGAUUAGUGGCGAACGGGUGAGUAACACGUGGGCAAUCUGCCCUGCACUCUGGGACAAGCCCUGGAAACGGGGUCUAAUACCGGAUAUGACCAUCUUGGGCAUCCUUGAUGGUGUAAAGCUCCGGCGGUGCAGGAUGAGCCCGCGGCCUAUCAGCUUGUUGGUGAGGUAAUGGCUCACCAAGGCGACGACGGGUAGCCGGCCUGAGAGGGCGACCGGCCACACUGGGACUGAGACACGGCCCAGACUCCUACGGGAGGCAGCAGUGGGGAAUAUUGCACAAUGGGCGAAAGCCUGAUGCAGCGACGCCGCGUGAGGGAUGACGGCCUUCGGGUUGUAAACCUCUUUCAGCAGGGAAGAAGCGAAAGUGACGGUACCUGCAGAAGAAGCGCCGGCUAACUACGUGCCAGCAGCCGCGGUAAUACGUAGGGCGCGAGCGUUGUCCGGAAUUAUUGGGCGUAAAGAGCUCGUAGGCGGCUUGUCGCGUCGGUUGUGAAAGCCCGGGGCUUAACCCCGGGUCUGCAGACGAUACGGGCAGGCUAGAGUUCGGUAGGGGAGAUCGGAAUUCCUGGUGUAGCGGUGAAAUGCGCAGAUAUCAGGAGGAACACCGGUGGCGAAGGCGGAUCUCUGGGCCGAUACUGACGCUGAGGAGCGAAAGCGUGGGGAGCGAACAGGAUUAGAUACCCUGGUAGUCCACGCCGUAAACGGUGGGCACUAGGUGUGGGCGACAUUCCACGUCGUCCGUGCCGCAGCUAACGCAUUAAGUGCCCCGCCUGGGGAGUACGGCCGCAAGGCUAAAACUCAAAUGAAUUGACGG
rnacentral:rRNA from 1 species